rnacentral:misc_RNA from 1 species
UUUUUUUCUUACCCCUUUAAAUGUCUCUGCGUGCAUAAUCUUUUUCUUGUUCUCUCAUUUUCAGUCUGAUUAUCUCCAGAAAAUUAGUUUGAAGAUGCCUAGGAUGGACGCCAAGAGUCGCCUUUCUUUGGGAAAAAAAAUACGGAAGAGAGAGAGAGAAUUGAGGGCGCCGCAUCGCAGAGAAGGAGAAGAAGACUUGCCUGGCGGUAACGGCAGCUGGACCAUCGAACUGCGGGAAAGCAGACGCAGGGCGAGUCUGGUGCAGAAUCUGAUGGAUCCCAAUGAUUGGAGAGUUCACUUGCAGCGUGAUGCACGCGAAAGAAUUGUCAACGAGAUAAUAGGGACACUAAAGAGGCUUCUGCCAUUUUCUGGUGAUGAGGUACUGAAGGAAAUUGCUGAAAGGUUUGAGGAAAAGAUUUAUGUGCAUGCUAUAAUCAAGUCUGGUUAUGAGCGGAAAAUAAGUUUUAAGAUGCUUACAAUGGAGAUCAAGCCAAAAAAAUAGUGUGCCCAAUUAAUCCCUGGUUCAGGAGGUUGCUAAUAAUGUAGCCGAUUUGCAAGGUGACUCUCUUUGUCUGCUGCAAGUGCAAUAAUGUAGUUGAUUUGCCGAUUGGGGACGUAGGAUGCUAUCACAGCUUUUCUUGUUUCAAUUUCCAGGGAUAGAUUUCUGAUGGAAAAGAAAUAAAUUUCAAUUUGAUUUGGAGUUUUUUUUUUAAAUUAAAUAUGGAUCUCUUAUAUUACAAUUUGCAUAAUAAUCUACUUCAUAAACCAAUCUUACAUAUAUUUAUUAGUAAAAAGAAAUUAAUGUAUAUAUAAUUACGAUUUGAUUAAUGAUCUUGAAC